AUUGAACGCUGGCGGCAGGCCUAACACAUGCAAGUCGAACGAGUGGCGGACGGGUGAGUAAUGUCUGGGGAACUGCCUGAUGGAGGGGGAUAACUACUGGAAACGGUAGCUAAUACCGCAUACCAUCGGAUGUGCCCAUAUGGGAUUAGCUUGUCGGUGGGGUAAAGGCUCACCUAGGCGACGAUCCCUAGCUGGUCUGAGAGGAUGACCGGCCACACUGGGACUGAGACACGGUCCAGACUCCUACGGGAGGCAGCAGUGGGGAAUAUUGCACAAUGGGCGCAAGCCUGAUGCAGCCAUGCCGCGUGUAUGAAGAAGGCCUUCGGGUUGUAAAGUACUUUCAGCCGGGAGGCGUUACCGACAGAAGAAGCACCGGCUAACUCCGUGCCAGCAGCCGCGGUAAUAC
rnacentral:rRNA from 1 species